CCAAAUUCACAUGAACAUCAUCACCAACUUUGGUACCACAGAAUAAGGAUUCCCCUAAUUCCGCCGAGCCCCUUCACCUAUAAAAUUCUGCAACCCUCUUAGAAAAUGUAGAAGCAAAAUAAGUUUUUGUCUUGGCUGACAAUUCUAAGCAGCCCUAUAUAUGUUCUUGUACGUAUAAUACCAACAAACGCAUGAGAAGAUUUAUCAGACUUUUUGAAAUAUAUUUUAAGACUAAUAGGACCAUGAAUGUAAAUACCAACAAGAGCAUCGAAGGAAAAAGAAAGAAACACCACCAACCUCAAGAAAAUCUCUAUGCAUCUUUUCCUCUGCUACAAUAGCUUUAUCAAGAAUUCCACCUGAUGUUGCACUAGUGAAAAAAUUAUAUUCUAUGACUAAAUAAUUGGUACCUUUAAAGUUUACAGUUAACUAAAUUACUAAUGACGCUUAGGAGAUUCUCUCCACAAAUGACGAUUAAGAGAUUCUCUCCACAAAUUAUUCAAGAAAAAAUUACUAAUGACAAUUAACAGAUUCUCUCCACAAGUUAUUCAAGAAAUUUUUGCAGAUAAUAUCAAUUAGAUUUUGCAACAUUUUUUUAAUAUUCUUUUCAUUCCUACUGAAGUAUCAAACAAUACCAGCCACAAUGCAAACUCAUGGCAUUACUUGAGUAGUAACUUAACCAUUUGUCACAAGUUGUACAAGACUCUUCAAUCCAAAAGAGGGCUGAAUUGUAGACUAAAACCUAGGCCUAUUAUUAAAAGCCCAAAAGUGCACUAUUAACUAGAUUUGUAAAUUUCUUGAAUGCUAAAACUAAAAAGUUCAUUCAUAUGAAGUUAUAAGUUUUGGCCUCACUGUUCUACUCAUCCUUAUCUCGCUUAAUUUAGCUGAUUAAUAGAGCAGGUUCUAGAACACAACAAAUGUUUCUAAAAAUUGAUAAAUGACAAAAUUCUACAAUGAAUUAUUGUAAUACUAAGACACAAGAUUACCCAGAAAUGUAACAGAACUUUUAACAAACACAUGGAAUGCAAAGCCUAGAUCUAACAAAUGCAAAAAACAAAAAAAAAUCAUUAUGCAAGAGUUGGAAAAAUAUCUUAAUUAUAUUGUAUUUAGAUUUAUAAUCACACAUUGAAUAAGAGAAACAAUCAAACAAAACAAUAAUAUUGCAAAAAGACUUGAAACCCACAAAAAAAUCAUGCUUAGGGUUUCAAAGAGAUGAGAAUCGUGAAGCUCAUGUCGAAGAUAGUUGAGAUAACUACGAAGUUCAACAUCACUCACUAGAAAUCACUGAGAAAUAGGUAAAGCUUGUUAGCGAAUUAGUGUGAGUUUCUAGGAUUCUCGGUGGCUAGGGUUUGGGUUGUCGUCGACAGGUAAGGUUUGGUUUCAAUUUAAGACUAAAUUCAAUUCUGCUGUAGCAAAGAGAGACGACAACGGUUUACCGGCAAGCCAAUAACAGUGAGGGUUGUCAUUGUCGGUGAGGAGUGAGCUACGUUCGAGAUAGAAGCUUUAGAGUAGUGAGUGUGGUCUUAACAUGUUGAAAGAUUAAUAAGGGUAUGAAACAACG
rnacentral:lncRNA from 1 species